GGGCCGGGGGCGGGUCUCGGCCGGCGAGGGGGGCGGUGGCCGGCCGGCGGGGUCGCUGGCGUCGUCUUCCCGGGCCGGAGGCGGGGCGUGCCCGCGGCGGCUCCUCCCCCUGGGCUCCGCGCCGGCUCUAGGAGCCCGAGUGCGGGUGGGAGCAAGCAAGCGAGUGUGUUCUCCUUCCUCCUCCCUCUCUCCCGUCGUCCGCACUGGGCUGGGGCGGCGGCGCCUGAGCGGUUCCCUCGCGAGCCGGUGUGGACCCAGCGGCUGGGAGAGGAGGAGGAGCGGCCGGGCCGGGCGGAGACGCUUGCGGACUCCGCGCAGGCACCUCAGCCAAUCAGAGGCCAGAGUUGACGGUUGCGUAGUUCUCCCCGCCCCCAAGGGCUGCCUCUUCGAGAAGCCACGCCCAACUGCUACGCGACCGCCCCUCUCUCUCGGCGGCUUCCGCGCGGUCCUAAUAUCUGGUCUUUGCCAGCUUAGGGUAGGACGUUGGUGGGACAGUGGGGCGGUGGCUGGAUCGCUAGGUGCGCCGAGCGCGGCGAGUAUCUUGCGAGGUCCACGUGAGAGGACUAACGGGGGUCAUUUCACGUUUUCCGAGGGCCCUAGCCCUGUUUUGGACUACUGACUCCCCUGCUCUGUCUCCUCGCCUGGGCCACCGCCCCACCUCGGCCAGCGCCGUUCGCCGCACUGAACGUGUCCUAGGAGUGGAGGUUCUUCUGAAGUGAGCGCGCUAACCCAAGGCGAGCUCUUUCAGUCUCCACGGCCUGGCCGACUUUCGGGUAGUCAGCAGUGGCAUAAUUCCCACCACAACUUCACAAGGAUCGGUUGUGUUGACUCUCUGAGUUGCAGAUCGGGGAACUGGCUCGGGAGGCAGGAUUGUGGCUGUGGUUAGGGGGCCCGGACGCCUCAAAGCUGAGCGAGCGCCCACGGCGUGUGCCGGCUGCAAGAAAAGAAGCCGAAUUUUUUUUCAAGCAUCCAGCCUUCUUCCAAAGAUCCUAUGUGGUUUGAGUGAUACCUUUGCCAGCUGCAUAGAUAGAUCUUGAUCAGUAACCGAAUCAGAGUAGCCCACACUUCUUGCCAGUUGGUUUAGAAAUCCCGACCUAUUGCGAUAUGUCGAAAGGACACCCAAGCCCAUAAACUCUGUCAAAUUAGCACAUGAAGGGGCUCCUACUCUGCAAAUCCAGCAGAGUUUGAGUAUCACAAAGGAUAACGUACCAGUGAAUCAAAAAAGAAUCCAAGUCCAUAGAGAUUCUCAGAGGAAAAACGGUGGACGAAGGUCCAGGGAAAGGUCUUCUCUACAGAAGCAUGCCAGCCAAAAAAUUUGGAAGGAAAGUGUGAGGAAACUCUCAUUUUGCAACCACCAUGUGUAAUAGUCGAUUCACCACUGGGUGCAAAGUUGCUGGCAAAAGGAACAUUCACGUGCUCUCAAAAUAAUGCCUCAGUGAAAAGGGGGAAAGGUACUUAUUUGUGGAUAAAUCUGAUGGGCGCCACCUUAACAUGUCACAAUGAGCAUUACCAGUAGUGGGACGAUCUAAUAUUCCUCCUCAUGUCAUGGACAUCAUUGGAAGAACAUACUGUUUGUGGUAUUCUUGCCAAAAUGUUUACACCGAAUCUAAUCACGACAAAAUAAGGCAAAUCUGGAUUAUGGGAUACCGUAUAAGACAACUUAAAAUCUUCAAAAAUCUUAAAAAAAAAUCAAUGUCAUGAAAGCAAAUACAGAAAGAAAGCGAAUUGUUCUAAAGAAAACUAACGAGGCAAAUGCAGUGAAUGAUCUGUGAUUGGAUCCUGGACUUAAAAAAAAAAAAAGACUCUAAAAAGACAUAUUGGGGAUAAUUCGAUUUAGCUGUGCUUGGGUAAGAUUGGCAAACUCAUGGCAUAUGUCAUCGUUGGCUGUUGAAAUUUGGAUGACCUACAGAACCAUUUCCAUUCUAUCAGAAGGCUUUGGCUGCCAUGCCAGAAGAGUUGGAAACGAUCAAAGAAAUUCGACUAACUUGUCCUUUCCUGACUUCUAACCUCUGAGGAGUCUUGGGCUUCAACUGGUGACUCAAGCAGUCAGCCAUAUGGAGGAGACGAUGGCCUGGUGCUAAACUAAACCUCAUAUACACACUAUGAGUUCUCAAAAUCCCUCUCCCUUCCUCCUCCCACACCUCGCCCUCUAACUGCCAGGUCUCACAAGCAUUAACUAUCCAAUGGCAAGGAGAGAAGCCAUGCUGGGGAUUCCUCGUAGCUUCUGCUCCCAUUUGGGACAGCUCUGGCAAUGGCACCAGCUCACCUUACGACUCCUCUUUUUCUACACAUCCUGCCUACAGACUUAAGCAGUGACCUCAAGAGCCGAUGUCACGUAGCAACCGAAUGACUCACACGCAGAGCUACUCUAAUAAUGCAGAGUUGCCGUGAUUAUCUCCAACUCCACCUCAUCCUUAUUGGUCAGCGUGUUCCCUAUUCUAAUGAUUCUAAUGAUUGGAAAAAGAGCAAAGAAAUAACAGCCAGGAGAAAAGAAUCAUUUUUCCACAGCAAAGCAUAAGUCUUUCUAAGCAACAGCAACAGCAAUAAAGACCAUUUAUUGAGUAUUGAGUUGUGUGCUGUCGAACUGAUCACUUUACAUAUAGUUGCUGUUAAUCUUCAUAACAUUCUUCUGAUAAAUGUCAUUUUAUAGAUGAGGACACCGAGACUGAGAGUUAAGCCAUUUUCCAAGGUUUCAUGCUAGAAAAUGACUGAGGCAUGAUUCAAACUGUAGGUGGCCACCCAAAGCUACAUUUCCAAAUACUAUACCAUCCUUUCAAUUCAAGGACCAAUUUAAAAUAACAUUUGCCACUUAUUUCCUCACUAUAGAAGCCACAGAUGUUCACUAUUAAAAAUCUGAUUAAAAAAUUCAGUUAGUAUUAACAUUUUUAAAUUAGCCCAAACUCAGCUGCCUACAGGUAACUACUACACAUUUCAUUUCCAAUAUUUUCCUGUGAUUAUAUGUGUGUGUGCAUGUAUAUAUGUGUGUAUAUUUGUACGGAGUAUAUGUAUUAUAAGCUGUGGUUUGGGAGUACUACAUUUUUAUCUUAAGAUUAUACUGAUCUCCUAAUUUUGGGAUUGUUCAUUGCUUGUAUAUAGAAAUACAACUCAUUUUUGUAUGUUGGUCUUGUACUCCACACCUUGCUGACUUGUUCAUUUUAGUAGUAUGUGCAUUCUUUAAGAUGUUCUAUAAAUAGGAUCAUGAGUCUAUGAAUAAAGACGUUUCCCUUU